GAUGAACGCUGGCGGCGUGCCUAAUACAUGCAAGUCGAGCGAACAGACGAGGAGCUUGCUCCUCUGACGUUAGCGGCGGACGGGUGAGUAACACGUGGAUAACCUACCUAUAAGACUGGGAUAACUUCGGGAAACCGGAGCUAAUACCGGAUAAUAUAUUGAACCGCAUGGUUCAAUAGUGAAAGACGGUUUUGCUGUCACUUAUAGAUGGAUCCGCGCCGCAUUAGCUAGUUGGUAAGGUAACGGCUUACCAAGGCAACGAUGCGUAGCCGACCUGAGAGGGUGAUCGGCCGCACUGGAACGGAGACAGGGUCCAGACUCCUACGGGAGGCAGCAGUAGGGAAUCUUCCGCAGUGGGCGGAAGCUUGACGGAGCAAGGCGGCGUGAGUGAUGAAGGUCUUCGGAUCGUAAAGCUGUGUUAUUAGGGAAGAACAAAUGUGUAAGUAACUAUGCACGUCUUGACGGUACCUAAUCAGAAAGCCACGGCUAACUACGUG
rnacentral:rRNA from 1 species